ACGGGUGAGUAACACGUAGGCAACCUGCCUGUAAGACAAGGGAUAACUAUCGGAAACGAUAGCUAAGACCGGAUAGCUGACUUUCCCGCAUGGGGAAGUCAUGAAACACGGGGUAACCUGUGGCUUGCAGAUGGGCCUGCGGCGCAUUAGUUAGUUGGUGAGGUAACGGCUCACCAAGGCGACGAUGCGUAGCCGACCUGAGAGGGUGAACGGCCACACUGGGACUGAGACACGGCCCAGACUCCUACGGGAGGCAGCAGUAGGGAAUCUUCCGCAAUGGACGCAAGUCUGACGGAGCAACGCCGCGUGAGUGAUGAAGGUUUUCGGAUCGUAAAGCUCUGUUGCCCUAGACGAACAGCAAGGAGAGUAACUGCUCCUUGUGUGACGGUAUAGGAGAAGAAAGCCCCGGCUAACUACGUGCCAGCAGCCGCGGUAAUACGUAGGGGGCAAGCGUUGUCCGGAAUUAUUGGGCGUAAAGCGCGCGCAGGCGGUUUAGUAAGUCUGGUGUUUAAGCCCGGGGCUCAACCCCGGUUCGCACUGGAAACUGGUAGACUUGAGUGUAGGAGAGGAAAGUGGAAUUCC
rnacentral:rRNA from 1 species